rnacentral:rRNA from 1 species
AUUGAACGCUGGCGGCAUGCUUUACACAUGCAAGUCGAACGGCAGCGCGGGCUUCGGCCUGGCGGCGAGUGGCGAACGGGUGGGUAAUGCAUCGGAACGUGGCCAGUAGCGGGGGAUAGCCCGGCGAAAGCCGGAUUAAUACCGCAUACGACCUGAGGGUGAAAGCGGGGGACCUAAAGGCCGCGCGCUAUUAGUGCGGCCGAUGUCGGAUUAGCUGGUUGGUGGGGUAAAGGCUUACUAAGGCGACGGGCCGUAGCCGGUCUGAGAGGCCGACCAGCCACACUGGGACUGAGACACGGCCCAGACUCCUACGGGAGGCAGCAGUGGGGAAUUUUGGACAAUGGGGGCAACCCUGAUCCAGCCAUGCCGCGUGCGGGAAGAAGGCCUUCGGGUUGUAAACCGCUUUUGUUCGGGAAGAAAUCCUCUGGGCUAAUACCCCGGGGGGAUGACGGUACCGGAAGAAUAAGCACCGGCUAACUACGUG